GCCUGUAUCCACUAAAAACUUGAAAUUUGUGUUCUCCAUAGCCACGAAAACAAGAAAGAAUAUGAAAGUUGUUCAGACAGAAACAUCAAACACACCCUUUCCCCUCCAUGACCAACAAAAAUAACAUCCCAAUAAUCAAUCCCUCACCCCAAUAUCCCUCGCUCACUUCUCCUAAUGGAACAGGAACAUAACCCUCAAAAAAACAACUUCUGUGCAUAAAAAACUAACAGAACACCAACCCCCACACACCCUGCCCUUGUACAACAAACGGAAAAGGAAUGGGUGAUAAAAAACACAGAGUAUAAAAUGUUAAGUCUGAAAAUGUCCACAGUCUAUAAACAGAACUGUCCAAUCCAUAAACACAGAACCACAAUACCAUCUCUGAUAUCAACGACAUUCAUCGAAAGAGAAGAGAGGGGCACCACACGAGGCAGAGAGGCUGACCCACCUGUCACAGCGAGCCACAUAGCAACAGGCCGCUCACAGGGCAUCUUGUCUGAUGCAGGAUCACCAGCCUAGACUGCCACGGAUCGAGCCCUCAGCAGACUAAAAAUCUCCUGCUCCAUCCACAACUUUUUCUUUGGGUAUGUCCGGUAUGUUCUCGAAAGGAUACACUCAUCCACACAGGUCUUGAUGAAGUUGGUGAUAACUGUGGCAUAUUCAUUCCGAUUCGAAGAUUGAAUAUUAUCUCUGAAUAUUGCCCAGUUUACCAACUCAACAGUCCAGUAAGCAUACUUCUGCCUUCCUUGACGAUAUCUUCCUGGUCCUCACUACCAUCGCUGUGGUCUUUAGUCUCUGCCGAUAUGCCUGGAGUUGAAGUCCAGCCAGUUGAUCACCCUUACCAAAGUGUGCCCAUGGGCUGACAUGGUAACCAUUGUUGAUGGUGGUGUAACAGUGGUUAAUUGUUGGCUCCUCUGUUUCCACAGGUGAUAUGUCAGUGGACGUUGUUCAGAGACUUCCUUGAGAUGUCCUGGUUUGAAUGCAGGUGUGCUAUUUCAUGUUUACUGACCAUGGUGCUCAGCUCUUCCAGUGACUACCCAAUGCUGGCCUGAGGUGGCUGCCCCCACAAGAUGCCAGGAUCUGCUGUACACUAAUGGACUGAAAUUGCUUACAAUCAUUCAUCAAAAACUCCAUUAUCACUGUGUCACAUAUCAGGGGACUGAACCCAAUAGCAUUUAAUCAUGAGCAAUGUUCUGCAGUGAUGUUUGUUGGCCCUGCAACUUUUCACUGAUAUUACUAAUGAUGUGAAUGAUGGGACACAAAGUCAUGUCUGAGUGUCCGGCAAAUGAAAAGCAGACUCCAAAGGAAAUAGAAUGGCAGGUAGGUUUAAAGUGUAGAGAUGGAAAUAGACGAAGUGAACAGGACAACUGGAACAAAGUGAGAUCAUUGACUGCGGCAGACAAGUUACAGAGAUAAAAGGAGAGAUUUUUCAUGGGAGAUCCGAAAGUCAGCAUCAGAGUUUUCAACCUGGAGGAAUCUCAGGCUCAGUCUGAACAGAUAUGAGGCAGCUCUUUGAUUCAGGUCACUGUCAUAAAUGGAUCUACACACGCUCACAUGCACUGAGACAGGAAGAUUGCAGGAAAUGUCUUUGAUGAAAAACUGCAUCUCUCAUUGCAAUUCACAGCUCCAAUAGCAUAUUUCAUUGGCAUUCCAGCAGCUAAAUGUCACGUGGCUGGUCAACUGUCCUGCAGUCCCUGCUGUGACCCGACUGUGUCCCAAGGAAAUCAACUCCUUGAUGUUUGGUUUUGUUUUCUCAGUCAAAGGUUGUAUGCAGAGAUGAGCAACCCACUUUGCAAACAAACCUGAUUUCAUUCCAAUGUACAAUUCUGUACAAAUUGAGCUUCAGGAUAAGUCUGAGCUGAAGUUGUCAAGCCAGCUGACAGCAUAUAUUGUCCAGUUUGUAAAUUUUCUAUUUCUCAUCUACAGAGUUGUCUGUCUUUAUCCAAAAUCCCUCCAUUGAAGAGAUGUGGAUCAACGAGACCACUACUCUGGUGUGUAUGGUUGUGGGUGCUGAUCUGAGCCAGGUCCAAAUCCACUGGCAUGUGAACGAGAGGGAGAAAAUCAAAGCAAACAUGAUCAAAAAGCCCAGAGAGGAAGGAACCCAAGACACAGUGAUCAGCCAACUCCAGCUCAGUGUGGAGGAGUGGGCCAGUGGGGUGGAGUACACUUGCUCUGUCCAACAACCUUCUUCAACCUCACCAGUAUCAGCACGGACAAAAAGUACCAAAGUUCCAGUGGAGACAAAAGGUCCCAAAGUCAGACUGCUGCCACCACCAGAGGGAGAGACCAAGAGUGGGAACACGGUCACCCUCGAGUGUGUUGCCUCUGGAUUCUACCCACAAUAAAUAACCAUCACCAGGGAGAAAGGGGACUCUCUGAUCUCUUCCAACAUCAGUGUGAGACCAGCUGCUCUGGAACAGAUGGGGACUUUCACUGCUAGCUACGUCCUGACCAUGAGCACAGAGGUGUGGAAGGAAGGCUCAGUUUGCAGGUGCACAGUGUCUCAUCCCCAGUCCAACACCAGCAUCAGGCAGGAUGUCAAAAACAUACAAGAAAUCUGCACAGAUUUGCC